rnacentral:rRNA from 1 species
AUUGAACGCUGGCGGCAGGCCUAACACAUGCAAGUCGAACGAGUGGCGGACGGGUGACUAAUGUCUGGGAACCUGCCUGAUGGAGGGGUAUAACUACUGGAAACUGUCGCUAAUACCGCAUACCAUCAGAUGUGCCCAGAUGGGUUUAUCUAGUUGGUGGGGUAACGUCUCACCAAGGCGACGAUCCCUAGCUGGUCUGAGAGGAUGACCAGCCACACUGGAACUGAGACACGGUCCAGACUCCUACGGGAGGCAGCAGUGGGGAAUAUUGCACAAUGGGCGAAAGCCUGAUGCAGCCAUGCCGCGUGUGUGAAGAAGGCCUUCGGGUUGUAAAGCACUUUCAGCGGGGAGGCGUUACCCGCAGAAGAAGCACCGGCUAACUCCGUGCCAGCAGCCGCGGUAAUUC